GAUGAACGCUGGCGGCGUGCCUAAUACAUGCAAGUCGAACGAACAGACGAGAAGCUUGCUUCUAUGAUGUUAGCGGCGGACGAGUGAGUAACAAGUGGCUAACCUACCUAUAAGACUGGGAUAACUUCGGGAAACCGUAGCUAAUACCGCAUAAUAUUUUGAACCGCAUGGUUCAAAAGUGAAAGACGGUCUUGCUGUCACCGAUAGAUGGAUCCGCGCUGCAUGAGCUAGAUGCUAAGGUAAAGGCUUACUAAGGCAACGAUGCAUAGCCGACCUGAGAGAGGGAUCGGCCACACGGGAACGGAGACGCCGGCAAGACUCCUACGGGACGCAGCAGUAGGGAAUCUGCCGCAAUGGGGGAGAGCCUGACGGAGCAGCGCCGCGUGAGUGAUGGCGGUCUUCCGAUCGUAAUACUCUGUUAUUAGGGAAGAACAUAUUUGUAAGUAACUGUGCACAACUUGACGGUACCUAAUCAGAAAGCCACGGCUAACUACGUG
rnacentral:rRNA from 1 species